ensembl:lincRNA
AUUACGUAAGUCAUCGGGCAGUUUUGCGAGGUAGUACUGGAAUUCUAAGAAAAUCAGGGCUGGAGAUUGCCGUUUACAAACCAUCUUCAUAGUUGAUUGUUGAAAUCCUGAGAGUGGAUAAUAUCAUCUAGGGAAAGGAAUACAGUAAGAAAAGAAGAAGAUUGAUGACGAAACAUUGGGGAAGGCAGAGUCAUGUUUUUAUUGUUGUUGUCUUUUUAAUCAGUGAGAGGGUCCUGUGCAUGUUAGCAAGCAAAGAGAGAGUCAAAACAUCCAGCAGAAGCAGGAAGAGAAGAGUUACCCAGCAUUGCACAGCUAUCCUGAGAAGUAGAGGACAAGGCCCCUCUCUUCAGUUGUUACAAAUUCUUCUGACUGCAAAUAUUAGAAUACCUAACUAACAGCAGCUGAAUCACAGAACAAUGAAGAAGGAAGGGCCCAGGGUUGAUCUGGUAUUUCAACAAUGUCCUUAAGGAGGUAGGUUGCUGUGAUGCCUUCCACCCUCCCCUCUUCAGUGAGUCCAUGAUGUCUUUCCUCAUGGUUUGAUAAUGGCUGCUGUAGCUCCACAUAUCACAUCAUCAUACUACUGUGUCCAAAGCAGGACCCAAGAGGGCAUCAGUGGCACCAAAAGAGCCUUUUAUUCCUAUGCCUUUCUCAGAUGCCCCAGCUGAUUUUCAGUCCCUGGCAAAGGGGUACAGCAUUGCCAUUGCUGGCUUAAAUAAUUUAUGAUACAUCCUCUAGGCCUGAACAGAUUGCUGCUAGAAUAACACUGGGAUCUGUUAGGAGAGAAAGAGUGAGAAAUGACUUUUGGCUCAGAUGCCAACCAUGCAUGCCAGAGUAUACGUGAUUUAAUGUGCAUAUUUAUCAGCUAUGCUACUUUGGACAAAUUAUCUAACCUUUCAAAUUCUCAGUUAAUGCAUCUACAAAAUUAGGUAUAAUAAUGUCUAUCUCACAGUGUGGCUGUGAGCAUUAAGGGAAAUGCUGCAUGUAAAAAUGCCUCAGAUAUAGAAGAUGCUCAAGAAAUGCUUUCUAUAUAAACACACUAAGCAUGGCUCUAGAAUAACAGACUUCUGUGUUUCCAGAUUUUGAUCUGUAGGAUUUGUCCCAGCUUAUACAAAUAAUUACAGAGAAACUUUUUCAGUGUUGGUUCUGUGCAUAGGCUGAGUGAUUGCCUAUGAAUGUAAUACAAAGAGUGUUAAAGGAAACUCGUAAGUCUAAAAAAUGCCUUCUUCACAAUUCCUGUGGUUCAUGCCUCCUCUUGUAAUUCAAUGACCCUAAGAAGGAAAACAUCGUAAACUGUUUAUCAGGAAGUAAUAUCUUAGUGUGGAUUUUAUGAUCAGAUAUUCCAGUGACAGUUAGCUUAGAGUAGGUUAAGGGAGGGGAGAAUAUGUCUAGAAUACCAAGCAGAAUAUGAUUAACUCAUUUUUCCAUCAGGUUUCGGAGCUCAGGAUAUAAUAAAUUAUUAGUUCAUACUAAGACGUUAAUAUCUAGCUCCAAUAUAAUGUGCUAAAUAGUCUAGCCAUAUAUAUAGUUUCACAUCUGGGUUGGGCUCUGAAAUCAGAAAGUUCCAAUUUUGAAUUUCAUCCCUCACUUAAAUGUGUGAUCUUGAGCUAGUCACCUAUCCUUUCUGAAUUAGGUUAUCUACCUGUAAAUAGAAAACAGUAGCAAUAAUCUCAUACAGCUGAAAACAUUAGAUGAGUCUAUAAAAGGGCUUAGCACACAUCUAGUACAUGGUGUGUCCAAAUGUUCGCUAUAAUUAUUGUCAUUUAUUAGUUUACAUCUUAUUAUCAAAAUCAUCUUGUGGUGGCUGGGCGCGGUGACUCAGGCCUGUAAUCCCACCACUUUGGGAGGCCGAGGCGGGCAGAUCACGAGGUCAGGAGAUCGAGACCAUCCUGGCUAACACGGUGGAACCCUGUCUCUACUAAAAAAUGCAAAAAAUUAGCCAGGCGUAGUGGCGGGCGCCUGUAUUCCCAGCUAUUGGGGAGGCUGAGGCAGG